rnacentral:pre_miRNA from 1 species
AAUGGGAUAACUGGGUCAAAUGUUAGUUCCAAUAAAAGUUUUCUGAGAAAUUUUUAUACUUCUUUCCAGAGUGGCUGCACUAAUUUGCAGUUCCACCAGCAAU